CUUAACAUUUUAAUAUGAAUUUAACAUAAAUGUUCAGCUUCAGGUUUUGUGAGGUUAAUUUGGUAUUCAAAACCCAACAUCUGAAUUGUAUCCACAAGGCUCAGUAUUUGUAUUUGGAUUCAAAUUCAACCGUUUCCUCUUAAGUUGUACCAUCUUUAACUUCAGCGCUAGUUCUGCCCCCACUUUAUUCCAAUUCCCAGUUAAAUGACAAAAUUCUGAUUGUUCUACUAAACUAUUAUCGGAAUGCAGUGAUCAUUUCACAUAUUUCACAGGAGCUUGAUGAAAACACCAGGAAUUCAGACUGGAAAGAAAAAUAAGUUUUGAGGACUACUUGAAGCUGAUUGGCAUCAGGGUUCAUGUAGGUUGGAGCUAGCCACCUAAACAAGGUCAGCAAAAUCUGGCACUCUUGUUGUCACUGUUUAACUGCAUCCUGUUAAAACCCUAUCAGCUAUGAAAAGAGGUGCUGUAGAAUAGUGUACUUUAUGUUAACUGUUAUCAGGCUUUUUCAGAAACCACACUGAUUUGAAUCAGUGACACUUUUGUGAAUGUUUUAUGGGUGCAGAAGUCUGCAAAUCUCUAAUGGUAAUUUGGGAAUGAUAUACAUCAGUAUUAUUCUACACAUUCAAUCAAAUCGCUGUGUGUGUCUUGCCAAUUAGCACACAAGUGAUGCUGUAAUGGGUAUUAUUUUAUGUUUUUGAAUGCAGUUCUGCAGAUGAAGAGUAUUAACCUUUUCAGGGGCUGGGUAGACAGAGGAGAUUGCUUUCUUGCUUUGCUUUCGUCUGAGGACAGAGAUGUAAGGAGUUACGGUAGGUUUCCUAUAUCCACCAAGCUCUGUGGGAGUAAUUUUGAGUCCCAGAGGAUUUGAACUGGCAUGCCUUGCAAUACUUCCCAAGGUUGCAUCACUUCUAGCAAGUUUUUCAAGUUCUUCUCUGUGGUAUCUGAGAUGCUUAUUAAUAAGUAAUCCUAAUGGCAAGCUAGAGGCAACCAGUUUAAUAGGAGAAAAAUAUUGAACAGCAUGGUUGUAUUAUCAUUAACUAGGAGCGGUGAUGCAAACAAUAAACAAGGAAUGGGUUAUAUUUCUCUGUUGCAUCUCAGUAACCUGGUCUCUGCCAAGUGUGUUUAUAUGCUGCAUGGACCAUUCCAAAAUUUACAUGAAGAAAAAUAGGCCUGAGAAUCCAAUAUAAAAUAAGAAAAGUUUUAUCCAAGGAUUUGUGCAUUGGUUUGGAUGCCAUUUUUGGAUCCCAUCCAAGCUUGUGGUUUGCUAUCUGUAAAACUGCAUUAUUUUGUAGAAGGAACUGCUGAAGUGGUCAAACCAGUUUCUUUGUUGGAUUAUUCUUUGUGGGGGUCAUUCUUUGUUACUAUGUUAAGCAUUUUUUUUUAUACAGUAUAUUGUAAACAUUCAUGCAUGGCUAUAUCAUCAAAAGGUGACAUUUGUGAAAGAAUUAUCAUAGACCUAAUACCACAUAUAGUGCUUCAGCUAAUUUCCAGUGCAAUACAUUUAAAUGGAAUCAGUUCACCCAUUAAUUUGCUAGUAACCAUAACAUUUGUAAGCCGGUCAGAUGUUUGAAUGCUGCUGCCCAAAGCUGUAGCAAGUGAAUGUAUGCAUGUAUGUAUGUAUGUAUUAAGUAGUGGGUUGACAAAGCAGACGACACAGAGAUUUCUCCAAGUAGUUCUUUAUAAGUAAGCUGGAACUGAACUGAACAGCUCAGCCGGCCUGCUUUUAUAGGCAGCCGGUUGUCAACAUUGUAACAACAACAGCCCAGGGUUUCCUGCCUAAAUUAACUGAUGUGGACCUGAGUGAAAAGUAUAUACACAAUAUCCCCUGGUAGCCAGGGUGAGCGCUUCAAUACACAACAGUAUGUAUGUGAGAAGGUAGCAGGUGAGAAAGAAGCAGAAAGAGAAACAUUAAAACAUGUCUUCUUCAAGCAAUUUCAAGAUUGUCCUGCUCACAUUUAGCCAAUCUGGGAUUUACAGUUCAGUCUUGUGCAUGCUUAUUCAGAAGUAAUGAUGCUUUCAGGUAGGAGUUUAUUGUGGGAUUGGCACUGCUUAUGCAUACAAGCUUUUUACAGCAUCCACAUUACAUCAUUAACAUUAAAAAGCCAGCCCAUAUUCUCCCCUUUAAUCCAGAUUUCUGCAGAAAAUCCAGCAGGUUAAGUUUGUUUGUGUGAAUGUGUGUACUGUAUUUGAUAUGUGUUGCAGACUUCUAAACUGCUUAGACAUCUACUUUGGCAUUAAGUGGUAUAUAAAUUUCAUAAUAGUAAAGGUAGUUAAAAAUAAUAACCUGUUGCUAAUUUCUUGUUGGCAACAUCUGAACCAUUUCCAGUAUUCAGUCCCUAUAUAAAGUACCCUAAUUCUCACUGAAUUCAAUGGUACUUAUUUCCUAAUCCCUUUCAAAUGCAUCUUGGAUUCCAUCCUUAUUUAUUGUGUGGAUUUUCAGAGGAUAUUUUCUCCUCCAAAUAGAAAAUUGUGAAGGCAUAGAUACCAUUAAUUUAUUACACUUUUAUUCUCUUCUUCCAAUGAGCUAAGGAUAACGUGUGACAUACAUAGCCCCCCAGCCCAGCUUUUACCAAGGUCAUUAAAGACCAUGGCAGGAUAUAGACAAGUGUUUCAACAGGCAUUUUGAAAAGGUGUAUAUGUGUACGGAAGGCUUGGAGAUGUUUUAUAUUAUUUACCCUCUCUGUGGUGACUCCUGUUUUAAGGUUUGUUUAUGAAGGAGGUCUACAAGGGUUAUCUCACCAUGUGAUCCAUUUAAUUGCAGGGGAUGUUUGAUUUACUGUCUAGGCUUAGGUGCAGAUGGUUCUAUUUGUCUUUUAUCGAUAAGGGUUCUCCAGUGAUAACAGGUGCUCUCUAAAAAGCAGGCCUGUUGGUACAUUCCCCACCCCCACCGCUUUCUGCAAUAUUUGUUUAGGGCAACAGAGCAUUGCUGAAUUCUCCCUAUACAAUGACUGUUCAGGAUCCCUGCCCAGUAGAGGAGGGGACAGAUGGUAAAACAGGCCCAGGGGUUCCAGUUUACAAGGGCUUCCUCAAAUAGCACACGAAGAAUGAUACGGUAAUAAAAAGCCAGCCACCUUGUGCCUUUGUCCUUCUUUGUAACUACCAAUUAGCUGCAGUUUUAUUGUCGCUGUCCAUGGCUUACAUGCUACAGGAGCAACACCAAUUUCUUUGUUAUUGCUCUUGUAAUGUUAGUAAAACUAUUCCAGUGAUUUGAGAACAAAUCUGUAAAUACUUCCCCGGGUCAAAAAUUAUUUUCCCCCUCCUCUUAAUAGUGCCACGUUCUCAUUCAUUCUCUUCUUAAUAAGAAACACAUGAGUGGUCUACAGUUCAGGUUAAUUUACAGUCAUGUACCAGUUUCCAGGGACGCGGGUGGCGCUGUGGUCUAAACCACAAAGCCUAGGGCUUGCUGAUCAAAAGGUCAGCGGUUCGAAUCCCACUAUGGGGUAAGCUGCCGUUGCUUGGUCCCUGCUCCUGUCAACCUAGCAGUUCGAAAGCACGUCAAAGUGCAAGUAGAUAAAUAGGUACCGCUCCGGUGGGAAGGUAAACGUGUGCAGAAGCAGCUUAGUCAUGCUGGCCAUGUGACCCAGAAGCUGUACACCGGCUCCCUCGGCUAGUAAAGUGGGAUGAGCGCUGCAACGCCAAGAGUCGGCCACGACUGGACCUAACGGUCAGGGGUCCCUUUACCUUUACCUUUACCUUUACCUUUAGUUUCAAGCAGAUAGCGAUAUGGAAAUUUUUCAUUUUCCAUAUGAUUGUCUGUCUUGUUAUUGCGAAUGCAUUGAUUUCGGAUCUGAAGCUAGGGUGGCCAGGGGCAAAACUGAACAGGGUUCCUACAGGCAUCUGCUUCUGACAGGCAUCUGGUUGGCCACCAUGAGAACAGGAUGCUGGACUUUGAUGGGCCACAGGUCUGGUGCAGCAGGUCCCUCGUUUUGUAUGUCACACUGGAGCCUACUAUAUGGCUCUGAAUAGGCAAGCAGUGGCUAUAUCAAUUAACUGAGGCUGUGCAGAGUCCUCUUCCCCCUAGCGCUGUAGCAUCUAUUGCCAUCAUGGCAACAUGACUUCAAACUAGUUCAUGGUCUUGGUUCUUUAAUUGUAAUAAUGGAGUAGUUUUUUUGGGGGUGGGGGUAGUAGCACUAUUAAGCCUAGAGUCUAAAAUUACUUGUGCACCCCUGACUGCAGCUCUCCUUACUAGCUCUCCGAACACAUUUUGUUCCCUGUAUCUGCUUUGCACCAAUGAGACAGGACAGUACUUACUCUGAAACUCGGGCGGGGGGGGGAGAAAUGCCCACACAAAACUUACAUAAAUCACCUUGACAAUUUUCUGAAAGGCAAUUGUUGUUGCAAUCCCACUCCCCCCCUCCAUGAAUUCAUUGAACACAUGUGGCCAUUUGUCUAAGCAGUUCUAAUAUUAGUUCUAUAUCUCAAAUCAUCUUACUGACAAUUUACUCAAAGCGACAGUCAGUGGAUAUUUGUCAGGGUAACAUUCUUUGAUGUUCCCUAUCAAUGAAAGUAGCUUUGUCUGAUGAGCCUGAAAAGCAAUCUUACAGUUUGUCUGGCACAUGAUGAGGUUUUAAAAAUAUAUAUACCGUAUGUAUAUAUAUAUUUAAAAGCACUACUUCAAAUCUGGAAUUCAAUUAUUUAUAAAAUAAUGUGUUGUUCACAGUUUGGAACUAGAGUAAGCCUGUUAAUGAAGAAAAGUGUGAGGGUGGAUGUCAGUCAUCCAUAUGGGUUUCGGACUAGUAAUUGAUUGCUCAGGCCAAACUAGAUACAAUGGUGUGAUGACGGACCUACCGGUAUUUUGUUUAAACUUGGAUCUGCCACAGUCAUGCAUAUACCUUGUGUGUGUAUAUAUAUGCUGACUUCAACAACAUAAGGAGUAAGUAAAUGAAGUGUGUAAAACUUUCCCCACAUUCAUGGUUUAUGCUCCCACAUUCCACCUGCCAACCCCUCCACCGGUUGGUUUUCUCCAGCUGAGCUCCAAAACUAGAAGGAAACUGUGCUGGAAGAAAAGCAUGGCCCAUUCUUCUCAUUUCCAAUGUCUUCUGCCUGUAUUCCUGCUGUUGCUUGUCCUUUAUUCUGAGAAAGUGAUGAAAUCUUAUUUGUUCACUAAUGGCUGGACCCUUGUGGGGCUUCCUUCCUCUUAAUCAGCAACAGGCUGUUUCUUUGGGGAAUGUGCUAAUAUUUGCAUCAGUCAUAUGCUCCGGGGACAGGGAUGUUGCUAUACAGAAACUUUCAAGUUAUUAGAUAAGUUUAGCUGCUGAGUAUAACUACCUGUUUGAGGUUUAUUUAAUAUUCAUUUUGUAGAAAGGAAAGACACAGGGGUAUAAAGUCCAGUGUUGGAAACAUUAUUGAUAUUUGGUACAGGGAGUUUUCAAGUUUACAUCUUGCUUCCAGUGUCAUCCCCACCCUGUUGUUGUUUUUCCUCAGCCAAGAUUAGACUCCUGUAAAGUGAGUGUGUUGCUUAUUCUGUAAAGGUGAGAGAAAGGAGACUCUGGAGAGCAGUGCAACAGAGGAACAGCUCUUCAUUUGUGCUACUCUGUGCUAUAGUUCAAUUUUGCCUGCCAUUUAACUGUUUAACAUGAGCUCAAAUGAGGAGCAAAUGUAGCAUGUACAUGAGAGGAGUUUUCUUUGCUAUAUUUUAAUAUAUUUCUAUCUAAGCCUUGAUAUUAGGAAUGUGUUCCAAUUGUUUUGCUAAAAGACACCGCUUAAUGAUACCAAAUAGGCUUUCCUGAAAGGGUCUGGAGAUGUCAUGAGGUGAGCAGUCUCGUGGUUAAAUAUACUGGAGGUGGUAGGGCAACAGUUCCCAUUUCUCUGCACCUGCAUGUCCCUUCCCCAAUACGUAUUGGGGCACACUGCUGCUGCUUUCCCCCUUCAUUCUUCCUCUUCCUCCCCAUUUCCUUGAUUCAUAACUAGGGCUUAAGGUCCAAGGUUGGUAUGGAAUUAUUCUGGACAGCAAGGAAAUGAAAGAUUAAAGCACACUGAUCCAUGAGCAGUCAACUUUGUACUCUGUUACACUAUGAUAUGAACUAGAAGCAUAGAAUCGUAGCGCUGGAAGGGACCCUGAGGAUCAUCUAGUCCAACCCCCUGCAAUGCAGCUGUCCCAUAUGGGGAUCAGACCUGCAACCUUGGUGUUAUCAGCACCACGUUCUAACCAAUUGAGCUAUCCAGUUGCCAGCUGUAGCAAUUGAGCAUGCACUUCACACCAUUCCCAAUGAAAUGAACUCAUGAAAGUUAAGGUCUGUUAGCUGUAGUUGUGUGUGGAGAGAGGAGAGCUUGGGGAGGAGGAGGAGGAGGAAGGAAGGAAAGUGGUUAUCAAUCAUUCAUUCCGGUUUGUCUGUAGUUUGUUUCAUUGUACAAAUGUUACCCCACACUCUCCAGUGCAUUUUCCCAUUACUUUUUUGAGAAGUCCAUUUUGCGGGAUGGGGUGGGUGGGGGAGAAGACAGCAGGCUUGUUGCAGAAGCACUUAAUUGACUUUAAUUGUGCAAACCCUGAAUUUGCCAGAAUGUGAUUGAAUCCCACCCCAAAGCUGUGACAUUCUGGAAGUGCCUGUGUUUUAUGUAUUAACUAUGAAGAAGUAUAUGUUACUUCCAAUGAGCACCAGAAACGCAGAAUGAGGUUUGCUGAAUCAUUAAGACUGGUGCAUUGUUGUUCUUUUGCUUUAUAUUUUCGCAGUAGCCCUGAAGAAGCCCUGGGCAGCAUUGCUGCCACUUUUCUUUUACUUUUUUCCCUUCAAAUUGGGAGCAGCUUUCAUUUUUUGGGGUCAAGGUAGCUUUUGUAAAAAGGCACUGGAUUAAAACAAUGUCAACCCCUCAUUUGGCCUAUUCUGCCUAAUAUUUGUGCUGAGUUUUACUUUCUCUGAGGUCUGCUCUCUUGUUUUUCUUUCCCGCAACAGCCCUACUACACUCUGGAGACCUGCCAGGAUAAGGCUCACCUCUCACUAAGAUGUACUUUGCUGAAUCCAAUCACUCAGGUAUGAUGAGCCAGGCUUCCUGAGCAUCAGAAAAGAGGCUUGAAAACAAUGAAAAUAAAGACAGAUGGAUAUCUUUCAAGUUUAUUAAUAUAAACAUUCAGAUUUAAAUGUGACCACAUUUUAAAUGGAAACUAAAAGAAAUGAAGCCUUAAAAACAACAACCCAUAAAUCAUGAGAUGAGGUUAUUAGUGCGCCAAGGAUACCUAGUUUGUGGAAGUGACAUGUGCUUGUAAUGGCGGAGGAGGAAUUCCAGGUGGAUGGUGCCUGUUAUUUUAUCACCCCACAUUUAUGUAAACAAAGGGAUGAAGCAGGCAAACUUAGUCAAGUGAAUCUCUUCUUAAUUACAGUUUGCCCACCUCUUCUUGCAGCAGUAUUCCAGGAACUUCCAGCUCAGUUUUAUAAAUGGCUCAUGUAUCUGCAAUGGCAGCAGAAUUUUUGUCCUAAUUUGCUCCCACAUGAAUAAACUGAAAUGGACAUCUCAUCAGCACAAAGGAUGCACCGUUUUGCAUCUAGAUUCUGCUCCCAAGAACAUUUGUGCUGAGGUAGGGAAGAAAAAAAAAGAGAGAGCUAAAAUCCCCAAGAAAAAGAAAACCGAUGAUACAGCAGCCUGAACGCAGUUGCUAUUCAAAGAUGCUUUCCCCAUGUGCUGCACUUGCACACAAUGCCAAAGUCACAGCUGAUGCAUGUUCUGUUUUAUUUCUUUCGUGAAUCGCACCCCAAGGUGAUUUAACAAUAAAAACAUCAACAAUAAAAAUGUAUAUCAAAACAAUUUCAAGUCCAGUACAGAUGCAGACUGGGAUAAAAAAAAUCUUCACUAUGAAUGGCUGUCUGAAAAUGGAAGGUCUUCAGUAGGGGACAAAAAGAUAAGAGCUAGUGCCAGCCUGGCAUGUUGUCUUGAAUGUAUAUUUCACUUCAUUUUUUAACAUGUUGCAGGCCACUUUUAAACUUUUGUAUUAGCAGUGUAUAAAUGCCCAUAAAUAAUAAAGAAGAAGACCAUCUACAA
rnacentral:lncRNA from 1 species